rnacentral:rRNA from 1 species
UACAGAGACUGCAAUCGUUAUUCGGAUUCACUGGGCGUAAAGGGUGCGCAGGCGGUCGGGUGUGUCAGAUGUGAAAUCCCGAGGCUCAACCUCGGAACUGCGUCUGAAACUACUCGACUAGAGUACUGGAGAGGGUAACGGAAUUCACGGUGUAGCAGUGAAAUGCGUAGAUAUCGUGAGGAACACCAGAGGCGAAGGCGGUUACCUGGACAGUUACUGACGCUCAGGCACGAAAGCAUGGGGAGCAAAAGGG